GAUCUGGCAGGGGUUAAAUACAUCCAUAUAGCCUCAAGGGCUAUAUGUGAUGUAUUUUAGCCAUAAAAAAGGUAUUAUACAUUGCUGCCCAGGGCGCCCCCCCCCAGCGCCCUGCACCCUCAGUGACAGUUGGUGACUGUUGGUGAAGUGUGCUGACAACAAUGGCGCACAGCUGCAGUGCUGUGCGCUACCUUAUGAAGACUGAAAGUCUUCUGCCGCCUGUUUCUGGACCUCUUCAACUUCGGCAUCUGUAAGGGGGGUCGGCGGCACGGCUCCGGGACGAACCCCAGGGUGAGACCUGUGUUCCGACUCCCUCUGGAGCUAAUGGUGUCCAGUAGCCUAAGAAGCAAAUCCAUCCUGCACGCAGGUCUGUCAGACUCCCAGCGUUGGAGGGACUCAGAGCACAACACUGGACUAGUCUGCUGUCAUACCUCCUCCAGGACUCAGAAUAGCGCUGGACCUCUUGCUAUACACUCACAACACUCCCAAGAGACAGAAACAGCUCCAUGUGAUUGCAUCGUUGACACCCAUUUCCCACCCCAAACCACCCAUUUCAUGGAAAGACAGGUCUGACAGAGAUCCAUCCUACUUAAAAUAGGACGGGGAUAUGCAAAAAUGCUGCUUGGCUACAUGCAAAGAGAUGUCUCCAGCUCAGACUCAGAGUGUAUAAUAGAGGUGAGAAGCAGUGCAUAGAAAUCAUCUGAA